AACGAACGCUGGCGGCAUGCCUAACACAUGCAAGUCGAACGAGGCCUUCGGGGCUAGUUGCGCACGGGUGCUUAACGCGGGGGAAGCUGCCCUUAGGUUCGCAAUAACCCCCCGCAAGGUGUGCUAAGACCGCAUAAUCUCUUCCGACCUAAGCUUCAUGGGCCUUGGGUGGGCUCGGGUUGGGUUAUCUAGUUGGUAGGGUAAAAGCCGACCAAGGCGACGAUCCAUGGCGGGUCAGAGAGGAUGAUCAGCAACGCUGGGACUGAGACGCGGCCCAGACGACUACGGGAGGGAGCAAUGGGGAAUAUUGGGAAACGGGCGCAAGGCUGAUGCGGCGAUGCCGCGUGAGUGGUGAAGGUCUUAGGGUUGUAAAGCUGUUUUAACCGGGAUGAUAUUGACAGUACCGGGAGAAUAAGCUCCGGCUAACUACGUG
rnacentral:rRNA from 1 species